UCCUUGUCCUGAGCCAGCCUGCUUAUGU
rnacentral:piRNA from 1 species